UACGGAGGAUGCGAGCGUUAUCCGGAUUUAUUGGGUUUAAAGGGUGCGUAGGCGGACUGUCAAGUCAGCGGUAAAAUACGGGGGCUCAACCUCCGCCCGCCGUUGAAACUGACGGUCUUGAGUGGGCGAGAAGUAUGCGGAAUGCGUGGUGUAGCGGUGAAAUGCAUAGAUAUCACGCAGAACUCCGAUUGCGAAGGCAGCAUACUGGCGCCCAACUGACGCUGAAGCACGAAAGCGUGGGUAUCGAACAGG
rnacentral:rRNA from 1 species